UGAGUGGGCCGGGCAGCCGCGGGGUGGGGCAUCGUCCCUGCCGCGAGGAAAGUCCGAACUCCAUAGAGCACGGUGCUGGGUAACUCCCAGGCGAGGCGACUCGACGGCAAGUGCAACAGAGAGCAGAGCGCGAUCCCAGGCGUCAGCGUGGGCAUCGUAAGGGUGAAAGGGUGGUGUAAGAGACCACCGGCGGCCCAGGUGACUGGGCCGGCCAGGCAAACCCCACCGGGAGCAAGGCCAAGCAAGGGGCAGGUGCGCGGGUGACUGCCCGACGCACAGCGGCUGCUCGCCGUUGCCCCGGGUAGGCCGCUGGAGGUGGCGGGUAACCGUCGCCGUAGAUAGAUGGCUGCCGCCUAUCCCAAAGGACGCAGUCCGAGGGAUAGGGCACAGAAUUCGGCUUACAGGCCCACUCGCUAU
rnacentral:RNase_P_RNA from 1 species